GAUGAACGCUGGCGGCGUGCUUAACACAUGCAAGUCGAACGCCCCGCAAGGGGAGUGGCAGACGGGUGAGUAACGCGUGGGAAUCUACCCAGUUCUACGGAACAACACAGGGAAACUUGUGCUAAUACCGUAUACGCCCUACGGGGGAAAGAUUUAUCGGAAUUGGAUGAGCCCGCGUAAGAUUAGCUAGUUGGUGGGGU
rnacentral:rRNA from 1 species